UAUUAGUUUAUCUUUCAUACUUUCUCUAUUACAUAUACUUUUCAUUAUAUCUUUACAGUCUGACAAACGCAGAGAAAUCCGUAUUUAAUAAGAUCUUAAAAAUGGUUAAUCUUUAAGAGUGCUUACGAGGCAUUGCAAAGAGCUGGGCUCAUCAACCCAGACUGGCUUCUAUACUUAAUGCUCGCAUAUGCUUCGAGGGUUUUUAUAAGAGAGAAGAGGGAAAACCAACCUGUGUAUAUCCGUCCACCGUCUAUCAUCACUCGCGCACGUGCACGAGGCUUACGCGGCUUCGCGGGUAGCAACGGUGUGAAAAAUUCACGACCGUUGAAGCAAAAAGCCGACGGUAAGG